GAGGGAGGCGCCGGUCUCUCGACCCGCACCUGCGCCUCGGCCGCCGGCCGCGACCCUCACCGCCGCGAACCCGGACGCAUGGUCCGGCUCGCGCUCAUCCCCAGCCGCUCCGCCCGACUCCUGGAUACCUCGGCCCCGGCAGCAGGCGGCCCGGCAGGCUCUUUGUUACCAGCUGCUGCAGCUUCCGGGAGCGGGCCGGCGGCUGGGGAGCACCAGGAGCCGGGCGAAGAGGGGCACGGCCUCGCAUAGGGGGACUCCGGAAAAACGCAGCCCCAACAGCGCCAGACGCCCUGCCUGGUUACCCCUACAGCCCCCACCAGCUCAUGGGGACCUACAAUAAAGCCAGUCGCGCCCAAGUAAACUCAACACUGCGCCGCCAGCUUGGGCCCCUCUUUCCUGAAAGCCAGAGGUUUUGAGGAACUUUACUUUUGCAGUUUCCUGGAGAACUGAGAAAAUUCUUUACCGGCUGGAUGUGGGUUGGCCUAAGCACCCAGAAUAUUUUACCGGAACAACAUUUUGUGUUGCAGUUGACUCCCUCAAUGGAUUGGUUUACAUAGGUCAAAGAGGGGAUAACAUCCCAAAGAUAUUAGUGUUCACAGAGGAUGGAUAUUUCCUACGAGCCUGGAAUUAUACAGUUGACACACCUCAUGGUAUAUUUGCAGCCAGUACUCUAUAUGAACAAUCCGUCUGGAUCACGGAUGUAGGAAGUGAUUUCAUGAUCCUUUGGCUGCAUGGAGAAAAUGGGACAGGGCCUGCUAAGUUCAACAUACCUCACAGUGUUACACUUGAUUCAGCUGGUCGGGUGUGGGUUGCUGACCGAGGAAAUAAAAGAAUCCAAGUAUUUGAUAAAGACACUGGGGAGUGGUUAGGAGCAUGGAAUAAUUGUUUCACAGAAGAGGGACCUUCUUCAGUCAGGUUUACUCCUGAUGGGAAGUACUUGAUUGUGGCCCAGCUGAAUCUUAGCAGGCUCUCAGUCGUAGCAGCACCCCCAGUGGGAAGCAUUGGGGAGUGUUCUGUGAUCAGCACAAUCCAACUAGCAGAUCAAGUUUUGCCACAUCUCCUAGAAGUCGACAGAAAGACUGGAGCAGUCUAUGUAGCAGAAAUUGGAGC
rnacentral:lncRNA from 1 species